rnacentral:rRNA from 1 species
UUUUCUGCCACCGAAUACAUUAGCAUGGGAUAAUGGAAUAGGACCCUGUCCUCCUAUUUUCAGUUGGUUUUGGCAGCGCGAGGACUAGGGUAAUGAUUAAUAGGGAUAGUUGGGGGCAUUAAUAUUUAAUUGUCAGAGGUGAAAUUCUUGGAUUUAUGAAAGAUUAACUUCUGCGAAAGCAUCUGCCAAGGAUGUUUUCAUUAAUCAAGAACGAAAGUUAGGGGAUCGAAGACGAUCAGAUACCGUCGUAGUCUUAACCAUAAACGAUGCCGACCAGCGAUUAGGAGACGUUGAAUACAAAACACCACCAUCGGUGCGGUCGUCCUUGGCGUCGGUCUUUCGGGGCCGGCGCGGGGACGGCUUAGCCCGGUGGCACCGGUGAAUGACUCCCUAGCA